rnacentral:rRNA from 1 species
UACUCCUACGGGAGGCAGCAGUAGGGAAUCUUCCACAAUGGACGAAAGUCUGAUGGAGCAACGCCGCGUGAGUGAAGAAGGUUUUCGGAUCGUAAAACUCUGUUGUUGGAGAAGAACGUAUUUGAUAGUAACUGAUCAGGUAGUGACGGUAUCCAACCAGAAAGCCACGGCUAACUACGUGCCAGCAGCCGCGGUAAUA